rnacentral:rRNA from 1 species
GACGAACGCUGGCGGCGUGUUAACACAUGCAAGUCGAACGGAAAGGCCCUGCUUUUGUGGGGUGCUCGAGUGGCGAACGGGUGAGUAACACGUGAGUAACCUGCCCUUGACUUUGGGAUAACUUCAGGAAACUGGGGCUAAUACCGGAUAGGAGCUCCUGCUGCAUGGUGGGGGUUGGAAAGUUUCGGCGGUUGGGGAUGGACUCGCGGCUUAUCAGCUUGUUGGUGGGGUAGUGGCUUACCAAGGCUUUGACGGGUAGCCGGCCUGAGAGGGUGACCGGCCACAUUGGGACUGAGAUACGGCCCAGACUCCUACGGGAGGCAGCAGUGGGGAAUAUUGCACAAUGGGCGGAAGCCUGAUGCAGCAACGCCGCGUGCGGGAUGACGGCCUUCGGGUUGUAAACCGCUUUCGCCUGUGACGAAGCGUGAGUGACGGUAAUGGGUAAAGAAGCACCGGCUAACUACGUG